UACGUAGGGUGCGAGCGUUGUCCGGAAUUAUUGGGCGUAAAGAGCUCGUAGGCGGUUUGUCGCGUCUGCUGUGAAAACCGGAGGCUCAACCUCCGGCCUGCAGUGGGUACGGGCAAACUAGAGUGCGGUAGGGGGAGAUUGGAAUUCCUGGUGUAGCGGUGGAAUGCGCAGAUAUCAGGAGGAACACCGAUGGCGAAGGCAGAUCUCUGGGCCGUAACUGACGCUGAGGAGCGAAAAGCGUGGGGAGCGAACAGG
rnacentral:rRNA from 1 species